rnacentral:rRNA from 1 species
UACGAAGGGGGCUAGCGUUGCUCGGAAUCACUGGGCGUAAAGGGUGCGUAGGCGGGUCUUUAAGUCAGGGGUGAAAUCCUGGAGCUCAACUCCAGAACUGCCUUUGAUACUGAGGAUCUUGAGUACGGGAGAGGUGAGUGGAACUGCGAGUGUAGAGGUGAAAUUCGUAGAUAUUAGGAAGAACACCGGUGGCGAAGGCGGCCCACUGGUCCGGUACUGACGGCUGAGGUGCGAAAGCGUGGGGAGCAAACGGG